AACGCGAAGAACCUUACCUGGGCUCGAAAUGUAGUGGACCGGAGUAGAAAUAUUCCUUCUCAGCAAUGGGCCGCUAUAUAGGUGCUGCAUGGCUGUCGUCAGCUCGUGUCGUGAGAUGUUGGGUUAAGUCCCGCAACGAGCGCAACCCUCGCCCUUAGUUGCCAUCAUUCAGUUGGGCACUCUAGGGGGACUGCCGGUGAUAAGCCGAGAGGAAGGUGGGGAUGACGUCAAGUCCUCAUGGCCCUUACGGGCUGGGCUACACACGUGCUACAAUGGCGGUGACAAUGGGAGGCUGAGGGGCGACCCCGAGCAAAUCUCAAAAAGCCGUCUCAGUUCGGAUUGCACUCUGCAACUCGAGUGCAUGAAGGUGGAAUCGCUAGUAAUCGUAGAUCAGAACGCUACGGUGAAUACGUUCCCGGGCCUUGUACACACCGUAGAGAC
rnacentral:rRNA from 1 species